GCCCACGUAGCUCAGGGGUGGAGCGCUUCCUUGGUAAGGAAGAGGUCAUCGGUUCAAUCCCGAUCGUGGGCUCCA
rnacentral:tRNA from 2 species